AGUGGGAAACGAUGUGGGAAGGCCCAGACAGCCAGGAUGUUGGCUUAGAAGCAGCCAUCAUUUAAAGAAAGCGUAAUAGCUCACUGGUCGAGUCGGCCUGCGCGGAAGAUGUAACGGGGCUAAACCAUGCACCGAAGCUGCGGCAGCGACRCUGUGYGUUGUUGGGUAGGGGAGCGUUCUGUAAGCCUGUGAAGGUGKSYYGUGAGGSAUGCUGGAGGUAUCAGAAGUGCGAAUGCUGACAUAAGUAACGAUAAAGCGGGUGAAAAGCCCGCUCGCCGGAAGACCAAGGGUUCCUGUCCAACGUUAAUCGGGGCAGGGUGAGUCGACCCCUAAGGCGAGGCCGAAAGGCGUAGUCGAU
rnacentral:rRNA from 1 species